rnacentral:rRNA from 1 species
GACGAACGCUGGCGGCGUGCUUAACACAUGCAAGUCGAACGGAAAGGCCCUGCUUUUGUGGGGUGCUCGAGUGGCGAACGGGUGAGUAACACGUGAGUAACCUGCCCUUGACUUUGGGAUAACUUCAGGAAACUGGGGCUAAUACCGGAUAGGAGCUCCUGCUGCAUGGUGGGGGUUGGAAAGUUUCGGCGGUUGGGGAUGGACUCGCGGCUUAUCAGCUUGUUGGUGGGGUAGUGGCUUACCAAGGCUUUGACGGGUAGCCGGCCUGAGAGGGUGACCGGCGACAUUGGGACUGAGAUACGGCCCAGAAUCCAACGGUAGGCAGCAGUGGGGAGUAUUGCACAAUGGGCGGAAGCCUGAUGCAGCAACGCCGCGUGCGGGAUGACGGCCUUCGGGUUGUAAACCGCUUUCGACGGUGACGAAGCGGGAGUGACGGUAAUGGGUAAAGAAGCACCGGCUAACUACGUG